UACGUAGGGUGCAAGCGUUUAAUCGGAAUUACUGGGCGUAAAGCGUGCGCAGGCGGUUUUGUAAGUCAGAUGUGAAAUCCCCGGGCUUAACCUGGGAACUGCGUUUGAAACUACAAGGCUAGAGUGUGGCAGAGGGGGGUGGAAUUCCACGUGUAGCAGUGAAAUGCGUAGAGAUGUGGAGGAACACCGAUGGCGAAGGCAGCCCCCCUGGGUUAACACUGACGCUCAGGCACGAAAGCGUGGGGAGCAAACAGG
rnacentral:rRNA from 1 species